rnacentral:misc_RNA from 1 species
GGGACCUGGUCUUUCCAGGUCCC